rnacentral:tRNA from 1 species
ACCUGGCUGGCUCAGUCAGGGGAGCAUGUGACUCUUGAUCUCAAGGUUGUUGGUUCGAGCCCCACGAUGGGUA